ACGUCACGGGUAUAAAAGGGCGCCGCUGCGCUGGAGGAGGGAGAAGGCGCUCGGGGUUUGGUCUCUCAGAGUUCCGGUCGUUUCUCCUCCCGCUGUCCCGCUUCACCUCUCCUCAUCUGUCACAAUGUCUGACUUCUCGGAGGAUCAGAUUCUUGAGUUUAAGGAGGCCUUCCUGCUGUUUGACCGGACAGGAGAUGGGAAGAUCAGCUACAGUCAGUGUGGAGACGUGAUGCGAGCUCUGGGUCAGAACCCCGUCAAUGCUGAAGUGCUCAAAGUGCUCGGAAACCCGAAAGCUGAAGAGAUGAACAUUAAGAUGCUGGACUUUGAGCAGUUCCUGCCCAUGCUCCAGGCCAUCGCGAAGAACAAGGACCAGGGCUCGUUUGAGGACUUUGUGGAGGGUCUGAGGGUGUUUGAUAAAGAGGGAAACGGGACAGUGAUGGGAGCAGAGCUACGCCAUGUCCUCACCACGCUGGGUGAGAAGAUGACCGAAGAGGAAGUAGAGACUCUGUUGGCGGGACACGAGGAUGCAAACGGCUGCAUUAAUUAUGAAGCCUUUGUGCGCCACAUCAUGGCCGGCUGAGUGUUGGAACUCGUCAGGAUGGUGAUGAGCGGUUGAAGAUUUCAGAUCCAGUUAAUUUUAUUUCCUGUAUGUUAUUUUUUCCUGUUAUGCUCACGCCCCUGACCGCCCCUGAUCGCCCCCCACGCCCCUGACCGCCCCCCACGCCCCUGACCGCCCCCCACGCCCCUCUCGCCCCUGAUCGCCCCUCUCGUCUCUCCGUCUGUCCAUAGCUGUUAUUUUUUUUUAUUAAGUGCCUUCAAUCUGUUUAUUUCUUCACUGUUCCUGAUCCAGAUGUCUGAGGAACCGUCCUGUUAAAGUUCUCCUCCGGCGUUUUUCACUCUGGAGUCAGAUGUUGUGUGUUUAAACGUUUAAAUUCUGUGACUAUAAAACAGAAAUGUAGAUCUGCAGCCGCUCCACAGACAUGAGAGGAAAUCUUCUCACACACUGCAGCAAUACAGUAAAAGUAGUUCCGGUUACUUUACGCUUUCCUGAGGGUUUUGUGGAAUCCAUACGCCAUCAGAGACACACGACUGAAAACGUAGCUCCAUCUCUGACGCUUCGCUUCAUUUAUACACAAACACCUUAAACUGAAGACUUCACAGUGUGAGGACCAAAACACUCAUCAUCUGCUCCUUACGCUUCCACUCCGAGUGAGACACGCCGCAGUAGAGCUUUAACUCCCGUGACCCGGCUGUAGUGUUGCGUUUUAUAGAGUCCAGCGUGUAAACGUGUGUGUGUGUGUUAAAUCACUGUACCUGGCAGGGUGACGUGUUUAUAUCCGUAUUUAUAUUUACACUUCCAUCAGUAGUUUACUUUAUUACCCUCACCACUGUGUGUCAUAAUAUUAAACUGUAAAUUAAUAAACACUGAGGUUUCAGAAUAAA